AGAGGAAUUGGCUGCCCGUGGCCGGGUGGACAGUCCUCGUCUUGUGUGUGGCCAGGGUCUCAAGGCCUCAUGCUACACCCUUGUGUAUAGCAUCUCAUGCAGGCUUCACCUCAGUCCUAUGAGGCAUGCAGUGACCUCGCCCUUAGACAUCUGCAAACUCAGACCUGGAGCUGUCAGAGCCAUUUGUCGAGGGACACGCUGCUAGGAGAUGGCAGAGCUGGAGCCAGCCCCCAAAGCCAGCGCUGCGCUGUUCUCCUUUUGAUGUGGGCUUAUCCAAAGUUAAUCAGUGAAUUCCUCACAUGUCCACAUGCUCCUAUGGGGAGUUGCUGAGUCAGCCCAGACCAGAAGGAGUGGCAGAGAUCAUUUGCCCCAAGAACGGCAGCGAGCGAGUGAAUGUUGCCUUGGUUUACCCACCCACGCCGACUGUGAUCAGCCCCUGUUCCAAGUAUCUUCAUACUUUCUUGGAAAAUUAAGUGGAAAAGAUAGUGCUUCUUUUCCUUAUGCCAUCAUUUUUACUGUGUACCCAAACUGUGACUUUAGGAGCACCAAUUUUUAAGGGAAGAACGUUGGUGAAAAGCACAGAAACCAG
rnacentral:sRNA from 1 species